AGCGAACGCUGGCGGCAGGCCUGACACAUGCAAGUCGAACGAACUCUUCGGAGUUAGUGGCGGACGGGUGAGUAACACGUGGGAACGUGCCUUUUGGUUCGGAAUAACUCAGGGAAACUUGUGCUAAUACCGAAUGUGCCCUUCGGGGGAAAGAUUUAUCGCCAUUAGAGCGGCCCGCGUCUGAUUAGCUAGUUGGUGAGGUAACGGCUCACCAAGGCGACGAUCAGUAGCUGGUCUGAGAGGAUGACCAGCCACACUGGGACUGAGACACGGCCCAGACUCCUACGGGAAGCAGCAGUGGGGAAUCUUGCGCAAUGGGCGAAAGCCUGACGCGGCCCUGCCGCGUGAAUGAUGAAGGGCUUAGGAUUGUAAAAUUCUUUCACCGGGGACGAUAAUGACGGUACCCGUAGAAGAAGCCCCGGCUAACUUCGU
rnacentral:rRNA from 1 species